rnacentral:rRNA from 1 species
GAGAUGUGGGUUAGUCCGCACGAGCGCACCUCACUUUUAGUUGCCAUCAUUAAGUUGGGCACUCUGAAAGAACUGCCAGUGAUAAGCUGGAGGAAGGUGGGGAUGACGUCAAGUCCUCAUGGCCCUUACGUGUUGGGCUACACACGUGCUACAAUGGUAUCUACAACAGGAAGCAAGACUGCGAAGUUAAGCAAAUCCCUAAAAGAUACCUCAGUUCGGAUUGCACUCUGCAACUCGAGUGCAUGAAGCUGGAAUUACUAGUAAUCGUAGAUCAGCGUGCUACGGUGAAUGCGUUCCCGGGUCUUGUACACACCGCCCGUCACACCAUGGGAGUUGGUUCUACCUUAAGGCAAGGUUUCAAACCCUUGACCACGGUAUAGACAGCGACUGGGGUGAAGUCGUAACAAGGUAGCCGUAGGGGAACCUGCGGCUGGAUUACCUCCUUUCU